rnacentral:rRNA from 1 species
GACGAACGCUGGCGGCGUGCCUAAUACAUGCAAGUAGAACGCUGAAGCUUGGUGCUUGCACCGAGCGGAUGAGUUGCGAACGGGUGAGUAACGCGUAGGUAACCUGCCUGGUAGCGGGGGAUAACUAUUGGAAACGAUAGCUAAUACCGCAUAAGAGUAGAUGUUGCAUGACAUUUGCUUAAAAGGUGCAAUUGCAUCACUACCAGAUGGACCUGCGUUGUAUUAGCUAGUUGGUGAGGUAACGGCUCACCAAGGCAACGAUACAUAGCCGACCUGAGAGGGUGAUCGGCCACACUGGGACUGAGAAACGGCCCAGACUACUACGGGAGGAAGCAGUAGAGAAUCUUCGGCAAUGGAAGGAAGACUGACCGAGAAAAGCCGCGUGAGUGAAGAAGGUUUUCGGAUCGUAAAGCUCUGUUGUAAGAGAAGAACGAGUGUGAGAGUGGAAAGUUCACACUGUGACGGUAUCUUACCAGAAAGGGACGGCUAACUACGUG